rnacentral:rRNA from 1 species
GCGGGGGAUCGCAAGACCUCGCGCGAUUGGAGCGGCCGAUAUCAGAUUAGGUAGUUGGUGGGGUAAAGGCUCACCAAGCCAACGAUCUGUAGCUGGUCUGAGAGGACGACCAGCCACACUGGGACUGAGACACGGCCCAGACUCCUACGGGAGGCAGCAGUGGGGAAUUUUGGACAAUGGACGCAAGUCUGAUCCAGCCAUGCCGCGUGCGGGAAGAAGGCCUUCGGGUUGUAAACCGCUUUUGUCAGGGAAGAAAAGGUUCUGGUUAAUACCUGGGACUCAUGACGGUACCUGAAGAAUAAGCACCGGCUAACUACGUGCCAGCAGCCGCGGUAAUACGUAGGGUGCAAGCGUUAAUCGGAAUUACUGGGGCGUAAAGCGUGCGCAGGCGGUUAUGCAAGACAGAGGGUGAAAUCCCCGGGCUCAACCUGGAACUGCCUUUGUGACUGCAUAGCUAGAGUACAGGUAGAGGGGGAUG